rnacentral:snoRNA from 1 species
GAGCAAACUCAGUCAGUCUCUGCAUUAUGUUCAGAAGUGAGGAAAACCAAGUUUACUGCAGCGAUAGAAGCCUAUUAACUUCAGAGCUUACUGAGUUGCCUAUUUUAUUCUAGGACAGGG